rnacentral:tRNA from 1 species
AGGCCAGUAGCUCAGCUGGUAGAGCGUCGGUCUCCAAAACCGAAUGUCGGGGGUUCGAAUCCCUCCUGGCCUGCCA